GCGGUUUAAUCGGACUCAACGCCGGGAAACUUCACCAGAUAAGACAGCUGAAUGAUAGUCGGGCUGAAGACUCUACUUGACUAGCUGAGAGGAGGUGCAUGGCCGUCGUCAGUUCGUACUGUGAAGCAUCCUGUUAAGUCAGGCAACGAGCGAGACCCACGCCAACAGUUGCCAGCUCGUCCUCCGGGAUGGUGGGGACACUGUUGGGACCGCCUCUGCUAAAGAGGAGGAAGGAAUGGGCAACGGUAGGUCAGCAUGCCCCGAAUUAUCUGGGCUACACGCGGGCUACAAUGGGUGGGACAAUGGGUAUCGACACCGAAAGGUGAAGGCAAUCUCCUAAACCCAUCCGUAGUUCGGAUUGUGGGCUGCAACUCGCCCACAUGAAGCUGGAAUCUGUAGUAAUCGUGUCUCAAAAUGGCACGGUGAAUAUGUCCCUGCUCCUU
rnacentral:rRNA from 1 species